AUGCCAUUUGGACUCUCAAAUGCACCAAGUACCUUUAUGCACUUAAUGAAUCAAGUCCUUAGACCCUUUUUAUCCCACUUUGCUGUGGUCUAUUUCGAUGACAUCUUGAUCUAUAGCAAGGAUGAGGAUGAACACUUUGAUCACAUUUGGAAGGUGCUAGAAGUACUAAGGGAAAAUGAGCUCUACGUCAACUUGAAGAAAUGUGUUUUCCUGCAAACACAACCUAUUUUCCUAGGAUUGAUCAUAACAUGUGACAGCAUUCGUGUUGAUGAUUCUAAGGUUGAAGCAAUUCGAGAAUGGCCAACUCCUAAGACCAUUUCUGAGGUAAGAAGCUUUCAUGGCCUUGCAACUUUAUAUAGGCGAUUUGUGAAGAAUUUCAGCACUAUCAUGGCACCAAUUACCGAGUGUUUUAAGAAAGGAAAGUUCCAAUGGACAGAAGCAGCUGAAGCUAGUUUCAAUGAGAUUAAACAAAAGCUACCACAACCUCCUGUCUUGGUACUACCUGAUUUCAACAAGACUUUUGAGUUAGAGUGUGAUGCAAGUGGAGUAGGCAUUGGAGCUGUCCUAUCUCAAGAAAGGAAGCCCAUUGCUUUCUUUAGUGAGAAGUUAAGUGAAGCUAGAUAG
rnacentral:rRNA from 1 species